rnacentral:misc_RNA from 1 species
UUAGCAAUUAAUAUAUAUAAUUAGUUAUCUCAUGCCAUAAAUUAAUAAAGAGAAUGAUUACAAAUUUUAAUAUGUAACAAGAGGGCAUUUAAAAAACCUAAUAACUAAAGGGGGAAGAACAAAACAAAAGGGGCCUAUGGCUUAAGCACCACCAGAUUUUUCUUCUUUGGUGAAAGCAGCAGUGGCACAAACAUAAUAUGCAACACAGAACAGCCCAUGAACAAAGCAUAAAAUGCCUCCAGUAGAUAGAAAACGACGGUAUGAGAAACCACAGGAAGCCCUUGACUUGUUAUUUGACGAAGCUCCAAUAACCAACAUGGACAAACCAACGGCUAAUAUGAUCCAAGAGAAAAUGAAGCAAGCCACAGAAAGCUGCUUGUUAGGAGAAGCUCUUUGAAGCUGCUCUUGAGAACAAAUACAAAUGCACCCACCAAGCAAAUUAGCAAUAACAUGAGCUAUACCCAGUAGUGCUGCAGCUGCUAACCCUAGCGUGAAAGCAUCAUGACUUGGCUCUUUACACUCAAAUAUCCACAACCUCAAGUUCUUAACCUUGUUUUGUGCAAUUUGUGCUUGGAUGCCAAGAAUCCCAGC